GUAAUUUAUUGGCCCUGUUUUACUUUUUAUUUCAGCUGGACCCUCCCACUUGGGCGCUAGCUUGGCAGAGAAUUUGUUUGAGGAACUAGAGAGAGGAUGAGUUUUAAUCAAAAGGAAUAAGCAGCUUGAUCUGGUGAAGGUGGUUGGUGGAUAAGACGUUCCAGUGGUCCUAGAAUUUGCCUACCCAGCAUGAGCUCUGUAGGAGACUUUCCUGUUGUUUCUUGCUGGGCGGUGUUAAUGGCAUAGCGGAAUUCAGAUCGCCCAGAAGGCUGGAAGUGAAUUGGGGGCCCCUAUCGGACACCAGGUAUUUGGGUACCCCCCAACGAGUGAAUAUCUCCUCCCGCAGAAUCUUCACUAUUUUCUGGGUCUUACUGUCUCUGAGUGGGAACAUUUCUACCCACUUUGUGAAAUAAUCCACAAUGACAAGGAGGUACGUGUUCUGUUUUUUACUGUUGGGGAAGGGUCCCAUAAGGUCCACCCCUAACGUGUGUCCAGGUUCUGUGAUCAAUGUGCUCUGCAUCAAUCCCGAUUGUUUGGUAUUGCUGGGCUUGUAUUUCUGGCAUAUCUCACAGGUUUUAAUGUAUUGGCAGACGUCCUUCCGGACAGACGGCCACCAUGCCACGUCUAGGAUCUUCAGCAGAGUUUUCAACCGUCCAAGAUGACCUCAGAGUGGAUUAUCAUGAUAGUAAUGCAUGAAAUCAGAUGUUAAGGAAUGUGGUACUACCAGUUGAUAUUUCACUCCUUGAUUUUUCAUAGGAACUCUGCGGUACCACACCCCUUGGAGGUCUUCAAAGGUGAUGGGUUGGUCUUUGACUGUUCGAGGGUUCAUGUUAGACUGCAGGUGAGAGAUGGUAUCAUCCAAACUUUGAGCUUUUAUUAUUUCUUCCAGAGAUUGAGGUAAUGUAGAUGCAUUGUGUGAAGACGUGAUCAGGCAAGGAGCAUCAUCAGCAAUAGGUUUCUCCAGGACCCGGGACAAUGCGUCAGGUCCCUGAUUGAGGCAACCUUUCCUGUGAUGAACUUGAAAACUGAACUGUUGCAGGCGGAGUGUCCAGCGGGUAAGGCGUGAGGAUGUUUUAGGGCAGUUGAACGCCCAUGCAAGUGCCGCAUGAUCUGUGAAGACUUCGAAGGUUUUUCCCUCCAGUUAGGGUCCGUGAUGCAUAGGCUACCACCUUUUCUCCCUCCUCUGAAUGCUGAGUGAGGAUGGCACCCAUUCCUACCUCACUUGCGUCCAUAUGAACCUGGAAGGGUUGGUUAAUGUCAGGUUGUAUCAACACUGGUGAGUUUUGUAAAGCUUGUAUAAGUGCAUCCAUACUAGACUGACACUCUGGCGUCCACUCCCACUUAACUCCUUUCUUUUUGAGGUGGUUCAAUGCCAGCAAUGUCAGCGAAGUGGGAAAUAAACUUAUGAUACCACCCUGCCAGUCCCAGAAAUCGUUGCAAGGCUUUCAGAUCUUGUGGUGGGGGGAACUCUGCAAUGGCUCUGGUCUUCUCUCGGUCAAUCUCUACUCCCCUCUCAGAGACUAUAUGGCCGAGGAAUUUGAGCUGACUCUUGAAGAAGUGGCAUUUCUUCAUAUUCAGCGUCAGAUUGGCUUGGUCUGUAACAGCCUUGGCGGAGGUUUUUCGCGCGAUCGAUCGCAAAUCCCCUUGAGCAUCAACGUGUCACUCCAGAACGGCGGUUUCCCGGCUCCAUUUAAACGGAAGAAAAAGUCACACAGCUGAUUUGGAGUGACGUCACUGGGAAUUCCUUGGAGCUACGCGACAGAACUCUCACCAGCAUUACGUUCAGCGAUGCACGCUGUUACUUCAAUAGAAACAGGUUUAAGAAACUGAGUGCAGGCCUGAAUACGGCCCAGCUCACGGGCAUCAUUUCUAAAGUGAUCAAUUGGAAUUGACAAGGAGCACAUGGAUAUUGUAGAAGUUAAACAAGGAGGAAAAGCUGUAUGAGGAGGCAGUUGUCAGCCUGGCUUCACUGAAGAGCUGUUUUAACAGGCUGAACGUCACUGCCUGAAAUGCCAGCAUAUCAGGUUUUGCCUCCACUGUCACUGUGCUAUCCAGUGGAGAACAGUUGCCACUAGCUCUGAAGGCAAAUUUUCAAAUUUUUAUUGUAUUGUUCAGUUUAAGUCCAUUUUUGCAUGUACUUGGAAGCUUCUGUUAUUGAACAAAUAUAAAUGUAUUAUUUCCUUAAGUGUGCAUAUGUCAAUAAACCUAUUUCUGAUUAUGAUUUAAUAGAUCAGGGGAUUGUUAAGAAAAUGAAAUGCUCACAAGCUGGUAUGUACAUAUUCCAGAAAUGAAUGCAAAUGCAUGGGUAAUUCCAUCAAGUAAAGGUAAAUUAAUGUAUAUACUAUAUACUGCAUAUGAACUUGUGUGUACAGCCGUUGCCAAAAGUAUUGGCAGUGACAUAUAUUUUGUGUUUUGCAAAGUUUGCUGCUUCAGUGUUUGUAGAUAAUUUUUUCACAUGUUUCUAUGGUAUACUGGAAAACAAUGAUAACUAUUUCAUAAGUUUGAAAGGCUUUUAUUGGCAAAAAAAUUCAAUAUAUGCAAAGAGUCAAUAUUUACAGUGUUGACCCUUGUUCUUCAUAACCUCUGCGAUUCGCUCUGGCAUGCUGGACAUCAGCUUCUGGGCCAAAUCCUGACUGAUGGAGAUCCAUUCUCACCUUAUUAGUGCUCGGAGUUGAUCACAACUUGUGGGCUUCUGCUUGUCCACUAGCCUUUUGAGGAUUGACCACAGGUUCUCAAUGGGAUUAAGUUCUGGGGAUUUGCCUGGCUUCGGACCCAACAUUUCAAUGUAAUGAUCUCCGAGUCACUUCAUUAUCACUCUUGCCUUGUGACAUGGUGCUCCAUCAUGCUGGAAAAUGCACAGAUCAUCACCAAAUUGCUCCUGGAUCGUUGGGAGAAGUUGCUCUUGCAGGAUGUUUUGAUACCAUUCUUUAUUCAUGGCAGUGUUUUUGUGCAGAAUUGUGAGAGGUCCCACUCUCUUGGCUGAAAAGAAACCCCACACAUGGAUGGUCUCAGGAUGGUUUCACUGUUGACACGACACAUGACUCAUGGUAGCAUUUACCUUUUCUUCUCCGGACAAUUGAUUUUCCAGAAGUCAAUUUCCUUGCAUGUGAGGACAUUUUGAUGCAAAGCGAUGAUGGCUGCACAUCUUUCUUUAGAGGUAAUCAUUGCUAACAAGAACACAAUGAUUGGAAGCACUUCUUCCCUCCUUUUAUAGCAAUCUGUCUGCUCUUAUAAUCCAUUCAUAAGGAUAGAGUGAUUUCACCUGACUAGUACUCGUUCACACUUUCUCAGGUGCUGCUGAUAUGAUUAGUGAAAUGAUGUUAGCUGGUCAUUUUGAGCCAGGACCAAAAAAAUCUAUUUAUAUUUGUGAUAAAGUACAUUUGUUUUGGCCAAUGAAGCUUUCUGAAAUUAUUUAAAAUGCAUCUGAUCACUCUGCACAAUAAUCUAGAAACAAUGUGAAUCAUCACCACAACAACUGAAGCAGGAAAAUGUGUGAAACACAACAUUUAUGUCACUGCCAAUACUUUUGGCCACAGCUGUAUAUAUACACUAUACUACAUUUUUAUAUUUGGUUCUUCUGGGUUUAUUUUGAAGAGGUACUGUCUAGUUACAAUAUCAACACAAAGCUAGUCAUUUUUAUGAACAAUCACAGAUCUCAGUGAUUAUAACUUUAAAACCUGUCGAUGUGCAUGCACCCCUCCCAGAACUGAUGUCACUUUGCUUAAAUUACUUCAUAUUUACUAUAUAGUCUAGUCAAAAAGAGUUAAUAAUGUUGACAAAUUAUACAGAUGUAUAAUGCACCUCGCUCUCACAAGGUUUUUUUGGCAUACGUCACCAUGACAACACAGCAAGUUGGGCAGAUUUCUAACCGGCAUGCACCUGCCGCUGAUCACUUGUGAUUGGUUCUGCGCAGAACUUGCUCAUCUCAAAUGAGCCUAAUGAUUGGGCGUUUGUUACAUGGUAAGCCCGUUUGAGAGCUCCACCAAUCAUCAGAUAUAGAAGUCAGGCUUCCAGGCAGGAUAGAAAUACACUGUCCAAAAAAUAGUCAGAUCAUUUCUCUCAUGCAAAUAGGACCCAUGAAGAUCCCAUAGACACCCAGAGACACACGCCAUGUGGAAAGGACCCAAAAUGACACAUUUAUAGCAUCUUGUCCAAAUAAUAUCAAUCUUUUACUCCACUGACCUCAAUUGGACAUGGCACGGCUUCAAUAGGCUCUAUGGGUCGUGUGUCCACAAACUCCGAUGGACACAAUAAUUCAGAUAACAUCAAGUGUUGUAUGCUGUUGCACACUUUUGUUAUUUAUAGGGACAGUUUACCCACAAAUGAUAUAAUUUACUCACGUUCAUAACAUCCCAGAUGUGUGUGACUUUCUUUCUUCUGCUGAACACAAUCGAAGAUUUUUAGAAGAAUAUUUCAGCUCCGUAGGUCCAUACAAUGCAAGUGAAUGGUGAUCAGACCUUUGUAGCUCCAAAAUCAAAAAGGAAACAGAGAAGUAAUGUUAAGACUCCAAUGGUUAAAUCCAUAUCUUCAGAAGCAAUAUAAUAGGUGUGGGUGAGAAACAGAUCCACAUUUAAGUCCCUUUUCCCCUCUAAAUCUCCACUUUCACUCUCACAUCUGAAAGUCAAAUGUUGUGCCUGUUUAGAUUCACUUUCACAUCUGAAAAUGAAAGUGGACAUUUAUAGUAAAAAAGGACAUAAAUUUUGAUGUAUUUUCUCAACCACACCUAUAAUAUUACUUCAGAAAACAUGGAUUUUAACAUGGGAGUCUUAUGGAUUACUUUUAUGUUUCCUUUAUGGGAUUUUUGGAGCUACAAAGGUCUGAUCACCAUUCACCAUCACCAUUCUAUGGACCAACAGAGCUGAGAUAAAUCUUAAUUUGUGUUCAGCAGAAGAAAGUCACAGCAUGUAAAUGAUGAAAUUAUUUUCAUUUGUGGGUGAACUAUCCCUAUUGAACUGGGGGAAUAAUUAUCAAAAUUAUAGAGAAGUUAUAUGCAAUUUGAUAACACGCCAUUGUGCAAUUUUUAUAAAAUUUUAAGGGAAGGCGUAAUUUCCCUGUUGUCUUAAAGCAAUCGCCUCGGGUAAGUAGCUAUGUUGACAUGAUUGACUGACAUUUCUUCUGUAAGAAACUCAUAAACUGUUUGCAACCUCUUGCUCUAUCUCCGCUCAUUCCAUCGCUAUAUUCCAUUCCAUAUU